GAUGAACGCUGACAGAAUGCUUAACACAUGCAAGUCUUUGGCGAAGCUGUGCUUGCACAGCCUAGCCAAGGCGGACGGGUGAGUAACGCGUAAGGAACUUGCCCUGCAGUCAGGGAUAACAGACGGAAACGACUGAUAAGACCUGGUAAAGUCAGGCGGACUCAUGUCCAGCCUGAUGAAAAGAGAUGCUGCAGGAGAGCCUUGCGUCCUAUUAGCUUGUUGGUGGGGUAACGGCCCACCAAGGCGAUGAUAGGUAGCCGGCCUGAGAGGGUGGACGGCCACAAGGGGACUGAGAUACGGCCCUUACUCCUACGGGAGGCAGCAGUGGGGAAUAUUGGACAAUGGGGGCAACCCUGAUCCAGCAAUUCUGUGUGCACGAUGAAGGUUUUCGGAUUGUAAAGUGCUUUCAGCAGGGAAGAAAAAAAUGACGGUACCUGCAGAAGAAGCGACAGCUAAAUACGUG
rnacentral:rRNA from 1 species